rnacentral:rRNA from 1 species
AGCGAACGCUGGCGGCGUGCCUAACACAUGCAAGUCGAAUGCGCAGCUCCGGUGUAGCAAUACAUCGGGGUGGGCGCGUGGCGAACGGGUGCGUAACACGUGGGUAACCUGCCCAAGAGUGGGGGAUAACUCCGGGAAACUGAAGCUAAUACCGCAUACGUCCUCUGACAUGUCGGAGGGAAGCCGCAAGGCGCUCAUGGAGGGACCCGCGUCCCAUCAGCAGUUGGU